GAGGAGGAGUAACAAAAACAACCGAGUGCUUAAAAAAAACAAAAAACAACGGUGUGCUUCCGUUUCCGGAAUCCAUGUUCACGCCUGCGGAUACAAAGACACAAGAGGCUGCAGGAAGUCUCUUCGGUGGACGCAGAGCUGCGAAGAUGCAAAGUGGCAACAAGCUGUGGGGCAACUUUGAGUGCAUGCAAAUGUCCUGUGUCGCUCUGGGCUUCACCUCAGAUGAAACAACCCACAAACCACCUGUCAGUUUCCCACACAUUGACAACUGCCCAUUCACCAAUUAAAAUGAUGUCAGCA